rnacentral:lncRNA from 1 species
GUGAAAGGCGCGGCGGGGACCUGCACGCAUGCGUACUGCGCGCGCCCUCAAACGCAGCCAGGCCGCCUAGCAACCCGGUUUCCAGCCAGUGUCUCGCCGGAACAAGUGGCCUUCCCUGGAGUUCUGUUCCCACCAGCUGGUCUCGGCUCUUCCCUAUCAUUUCCCCUUCUCCCCUCUACUGGUUCCAAUUUCGCCCACGGUGUGCGUCCCAAAACGCUGAACCGGCUCCUAAAAUGAGUACUCGUGGUUUCCGCGUGGGAACCCACCUCUGGGGCCUCUGGCCCGCCCUCCGCUGGCUUAGGUGGCUGCUGGGGCUGGGGCUGCUCCUGGGGCUUCAGGCCGCCCUCUGCGUGGCUUUCUAUCUCCCGGGGUUGGCUCCCGUCAACUUCUGCGAGGCGGACCAAGAGACUGCCACCUGCAAGUCAUCUGUAGCACUAUUUGUAAAUAGUCUGGACUCAGUGGAACCUGCUGUCUUAUGAAUAUAAUAUUUUUAACAAGACAGAAACAUGUUCAAAAGUUUGUGUAAAAUUUUAUGAUAUAGCAAGUGAAGAUCGAAAGAAAAGGCUGGAUUUUUUGAAGAAAGGAACACAGCUGAAUUAUCA